GCUUUAGUAGUUUAAAUAAAACACUGGUCUUGUAAACCAGAAAUAAGUUAUAACACUUUUUAAGCU
rnacentral:tRNA from 1 species